ensembl:lncRNA
CUGCCAUACACGUUAUGUGUCUGUGAGCGAGGGAGGGAGAGAAAGGAAAAGUCCGAGCUGUCACGGAGCAAAAACGGGAGCUGGAAGCAUGUAAAUAUAAUAAUAACCACAGCAGCCAAGAAGAGUGCCUGAGGAGCCCAUUUAGCUCAAACAGAGGGCAGCCGGUUGAUCAGGGAAACCGAAGGCAGGAGAAGCACACCUGAGGCGGCGCCGGUCCAAGCGUCAGGUGAGCUGAAUUUCAGGUGUAAGGUCCUCUCUGCUGCCAUCCCCUG